AAAUUCCACAUUUGAACAAACUCUUCUUCAUUUCCUGAAAAUGUGGGCCUAUUUCCCCAAUCGAGACGUGCAGUAAUACUCCUAAAAAAUACAGUGAAACCACUUGAUCCCGGGAAAAUGAGGAAAAUCAACCACUGUAACUCCACUGCUGUCUCUUCUCCACCCUCCAGCAAGACUUGUGAUGCUCAUCCAUAGGGUGAUGAAGCGCAGAACAAUGGAGCCUUGGGGAGACGGAGCUCACCCGCAGCCCAGCAUCCAGGAAUACAUACACAAGGCUUCAUUGACUGCUGCCAGACAGAACGAGAGUGAGGGGGUGGGCUCUGGGAUCAUACAUAACUUAAAAGAAGUAGCUGACAUGAAAAUAAAUUACGACAGCCACGGGAUAAAAGCCUCGGGGCAGGUAACAGUGACCCAGAGAUGAAGUCAGCACUUAUACGAUGAGCCCCGGGCGAUGAUCUCCAGCCAUGCGAUCAAAGGGUGGUAGAAGACUGGGUCAAAGGGCAGAGACAACUCGGAGUAUCCCCUGAGGCUGAACAGUUUAGCGUGGUGUGACAAGGUGACAGUGAGGCAUGGAGAAAGUUUAAAGGGUCUGAUUGGCUCAAUUAAACUUCCAGUGAGGGAACAAGAUCUUAAAAUAAAUGUCUUCCAGCGUUUGAGGUGGUUGAUAGUGACAGAUGAGUUCAGGAUGAGAGACUAGUCUGUUGGAAGCUUUAAAGCUAUAGAUGGUGACUUUUAGAAAAUUUACUUUUUGCUGAAACUAUGCCCAAUCCCAAUUCCCAUUUUAACC